rnacentral:sRNA from 1 species
AAAGCCAGUUUGAAAACUUUAAAAAUGUUUUUAUUCAAUAUUGAUUUGUUGUCAAUAUGGUAUUCAUAUGUACCAAAUAUUAAUACAUGAACCAUAUGAUCAUAAAAAUUAUGUGCCAUAAAUCAGGAACAAUAUGAUUUGAAUAUGCUAGAGCAAAGUUGUAAAAUAGAGAAAUUUCAUAAUUCAAUUUUAUUGAGUGUAUAUUGUGAAAAAUGUUUUGGUUUUUUUUAAGUGAUGAUACAUGUAUGUUUUUUAAGAAAGAAGAAAAAAGAAAUCAUUUAAUUUGGAGCAUUCGCAAAAGACACACAAAAUUUAACAAGUUUGAAUUAUUUAUUUUUGGGCUAAAGGACACCCCUUUGUAAUUUGAAUCGUAAAAAAGGGUUAUUUACUUAGUAAGUACGUUUUUAUGUUGUAUCAAUUUAAUCAAAAAGUUUUCGCUUUUUCACUUUGCAUGUGUUAAUUAGUGUAUAUUCCACCAAGUUAAUAAAAUACAAGUUAAUGUAUCAAUUUAAAUCAAUCUUUAUUUGACUUUAAUGAAGGAUAUCAGUAGUUUGUAUUUUUGUACCAUCAUUUUAGAAGGCAACAUGUUUAAUAUUAUACUGAAAGUAUUAGAAAUACAGGAUUUUCACUUUUUUAGAUGCAGUAAUUUUUAAGAAUCUAUCAUGAAUGUUCUUCAUUAAAUCAAGAAUUGAUUCGUUCUUUUUAUAUAGAAAAGCCAUAUUCACAUAUUUUAUUUAGCAUUAUAAUUGUUUCAAAAACAUGCCUGCAAGUGUUAUAAUUAUUUGUUUUUACCAAAACACUUCGAUUCAUAUAGAUGUACAUGUAUUUCAAAACAUGGUUGUGCCAAAGCCAAAAGCAACUUAAACUUACCUUGAUUUAUAAUCGGAAUACAUUGUAUUAUCAUUAUCCAUUUAUGAUUGCAUCAUGGCAAACCAUGACCAAUUUUGUGACCCUCUUACAUAUGUAGGAGAGAGAUAUGUACAUGUAGGCUUAGUCAAUUUUAUAUUUGAGUAAUAGACUUUUAAUGUUUUAUCAUUAUAAUUAGAAAACAUUGAUCCAUGCUGAAUUUUCAACACAAUGAUUUAAAUUAACACUAAAAUAAAAACUUACUGGAGAGGCCCAAUCAUAUGGGUAUUGUUAAAAAUCUUGAAUUAAGUUGAUAAUAUUUUUGUAAAGCUCACUUUGUCUUGGAAUAUCUGAGAGAAAAUUCCUCACUUUUGUAUUUUUUACAUACUUUUUGUGCAUAUGAUGAACAAUUUUUUUUUACACUUUAAAUGAUAUAACUGGUUUAUAUUUCAAAUGGUUGAAACACAAAUAUACUUAUAAUAAAAAGUUAUUGAUAA